CCCCUCAAUUCUUCCAAUUCUUCAUUUUUGCCCUCUUUACGUUCAGCCCUGACCUAGGCCUUUCUUCCUCUUCCUUUUGCUUGCUCGAGCUUCCCCUUUCUCUCUCCUCCUGCUUCUCUUCUUGGUAUAAUCUCAUCCCCCAUCUCCUGCCGAUUCUCCCACCGCAUCGCCGCUGCCGCCGCAACACCACUAAAUCACUCAAUCACCAAUCUCCCUCCAAUGGGUGCGUCCUUUUGCACUGCUUUUAUACAUUUCCAGCUAUGCUAUCCAUGUUCCUGGGUAGUCUUCACCUCCCUGGGUUCGAAUGAGGUAGUUUCCGGUGGUAUUCACGCUAUUUCUCAACGUCGGGAUGAAUUAUUCAAUUCUAGGGUUCGAUUCCUUGCGGCUCCAGUUCAGGUUGUUUUCGUGAUCCAAUCUCGGUUGGU